CCGGACGCCGGCCCGUCCGCCACCUGCUGAGAGACGGCGGGGCCGGCUGGUCCAGGGGAGUUCGAAACCGGUACUUACCAGUGCGAGGAGUCGCCCGACUUUUCCUUUGCGGGGUUCAGGAAGACCCUCUGCAGCCGGUGGCGAUACAGCAGACAACAGGACUUGGGAACAUCAGUGCCCCCAUACGGAUUGCACCCACGUCUCCAGUCACUGUGGGAGCAAAUACCUGCGCUGACCUAAAACACAGACCUGAAAGUUGGCCACCAGACAGAGUCCUAGACAGCUCAGCCAUCCGAUCACAAGGCCAGCCUUAUUUAGUUUGAUGAUCCGACUCUCUUCAGGACUCAGAGCUUGAACUUGCUUAUAGCGAACAUAAAUGGUAGCGAUGCCUGGGAAGAGAUCAUUGAGAAGCAACAAUGCAAUAAAUAACAAAGAAAGUGGACAAGGAAGAUUUCACAAAGGUCACUGAUACCGAGACACACAGAUUUCCAUUUUAAUAUUAACCUGAGACAGAACAAAACAA